rnacentral:rRNA from 1 species
CUACGUGCCAGCAGCCGCGGUAAUACGGAAGGUCCAGGCGUUAUCCGGAUUUAUUGGGUUUAAAGGGAGCGUAGGCUGGAGAUUAAGUGUGUUGUGAAAUGUAGACGCUCAACGUCUGAAUUGCAGCGCAUACUGGUUCACUUGAGUAUGCACAACGUAGGCGGAAUUCGUCGUGUAGCGGUGAAAUGCUUAGAUAUGACGAAGAACUCCGAUUGCGAAGGCAGCUUACGGGAGCACAACUGACGCUGAAGCUCGAAGGUGCGGGUAUCAAACAGGAUUAGAUACCCUGGUAGUCCGCACAGUAAACGAUGGAUGCCCGUUGUUAGUUCACUUAAGAAUUAGCGACCAAGCGAAAGCAUUAAGCAUCCCACCUGGGGAGUACGCCGGCAACGGUGAAACUCAAAGGAAUUGACGGGGGCCCGCACAAGCGGAGGAACAUGUGGUUUAAUUCGAUGAUACGCGAGGAACCUUACCCGGGCUUGAA